rnacentral:tRNA from 1 species
GCACCAUUAGCUCAAUUGGAUAGAGCAACGGACUUCGAAUCCGUAGGCUGGGGGUUCGAGUCCCUCAUGGUGCGCCA